CCUGUACAUUAUUUUGUAAAAUGGAGCUAUUGUUUUAUAAAACAUUUCCUUUCCAACUAGCCUGGCUUCAAAAGACACAGGGACCCCUGACCCUGGUUAAAAGUAAUUGAAAACAGAUCCUCUGAGGAAGUGGGAACUGAGAGGCUAAGGCUGUGAUACAUUAUUGAAACUAAAGCUCUGGAUUAUUAUCAGGCCUGCUUUUGUCCUCACUUCCACACAGGCUGUAUGACUUGCUGAGUCAUGGAGAAGCUGCUGCUGGUGGAUGCUGGCUUGCUUGUUCUGGGGCUAUGAACACAACUUGCUUUGAAAACUCUCCACUGCUUUAUUUUCCUAGUGAUAGAAUCAAUUUGGAGAAAAUUCUGUUUCUCAGCAUCCUGUCAAGCCCACAAGCUUUUGUGCUGCCACAGUCAUGGAGUUGGAGGCAUUCCCUGUGGGCUUCACUAGUGAAGGUAAGUCCCUUUGGUGCUGCUAGCACUGGUGUCUCCAUCCAUCAUUAUGCUCCAUACACAUCAACCUCACAUGGAGGGAGACUGUGCUGCUGCUACUCACUGAGCCUUCCUUCCUUUUGCUUUCUGGGCCAUUGUAAGGGUUCAGCAGCAAGAUUCCUGUUGCCCACAUUGCUGUGCUCUCAGCUGGAAGGCUGACAGCCCCUGUACAGUGGAAGUGACUGACUUUGUUGUGAUUCACUGAAGCAAGAAGUCCCGGACAUUGUAGUAAAGCCUGCUAACCCAGGUGACUUGUAGGGGGGAUAUGGGGGGGGCACAUGCCCCCCAGGAUUAGCCAUCGUCACUGCCUCUGCUGGCUUCUGCAGGUGAUUGCCGCUUGCCGCCCUCCCUCCCACAGUCUUGGGAGGCACCAGUCGUUCAGCCUGCUAACAUCACUUGAUUCCACAUUUCCAUGAAAUCCCUCCUUCUCAGUGAUCCCUCCUUCUCAGGACUUGGAAGGAGAGAUUCAGGCACAAAGUACAUUAAUGUUUUUAGGCAGACAAGGUUCUUUGGGUGAAUCUGAUAUCUUUUAUUAGACCAACUUAAAUAGUUGGAAAACAAUUUUUAAGCAAGCUUUCAGAUUCAGAAACCCUUUGUCAGGCUGAGGAGGUUUCAGCAGUUGGUGUGUGCUCUUUCUGGAUGGAAUGAAAAGUAAAGAGGGCUGGUAUGCAUACAAGACAAGCAGUCAGUGAAGACAUAGAUAGAGGAGUCAAUAGGUGAGAGAUAGGCUGGGUGCGGGGGAGAGAAGGGGGAUGAAUACUGGAGAAGUACCUGGGGAGUCAGAUGUCAGGCCGAUUAUAAUGUGCCAUAAAUCCAAUGUCUAUAUUUAGUCCAUGAUUUUUAGUAUCCAGGAGGUUGAUGAAGGGGAGUUCAUAGGCUCGUCUCUGGGAAGUGUUUUGUGAGUUUCCUUUGAGGAUUAGAACUCAGAGAUCGGAGAGAGAGUGGUUUUCUUGUCAGAAAUGUGCCCCCACAGGUAAUUGGGUAUUCCUAUCUUUGAUAUAUUUCCUGUGCGCAUUCAUUCUGGUGCACAGUUGUUGUUUAGUAUCUCCUACGUAUUUUCCAUCAGGGCAUUUGGUGCAUUGGAUGAGAUAUAUUACAUUUCUGGAGGUGCAGCUGUAAGCUCUGGGAAUGCCGAUGGCUCUCUUGUGGGGUGUAGUGA
ensembl:lncRNA